rnacentral:rRNA from 1 species
AGGGAAUCUUCCGCAAUGGACGAAAGUCUGACGGAGCAACGCCGCGUGAGUGAUGAAGGUUUUCGGAUCGUAAAACUCUGUUGUUAGGGAAGAACAAGUACGAGAGUAACUGCUCGUACCUUGACGGUACCUAACCAGAAAGCCACGGCUAACUACGUGCCAGCAGCCGCGGUAAUACGUAGGUGGCAAGCGUUGUCCGGAAUUAUUGGGCGUAAAGCGCGCGCAGGCGGUCCUUUAAGUCUGAUGUGAAAGCCCACGGCUCAACCGUGGAGGGUCAUUGGAAACUGGGGGACUUGAGUACAGAAGAGAAGAGUGGAAUUCCACGUGUAGCGGUGAAAUGCGUAGAGAUGUGGAGGAACACCAGUGGCGAAGGCGACUCUUUGGUCUGUAACUGACGCUGAGGCGCGAAAGCGUGGGGAGCAAAC